rnacentral:rRNA from 1 species
UACGUAGGGUGCAAGCGUUAUCCGGAAUUAUUGGGCGUAAAGAGCUCGUAGGCGGUUUGUCGCGUCUGCUGUGAAAACUGGAGGCUCAACCUCCAGCCUGCAGUGGGUACGGGCAGACUAGAGUGCGGUAGGGGGAGACUGGAAUUCCUGGUGUAGCGGUGAAAUGCGCAGAUAUCAGGAGGAACACCGAUGGCGAAGGCAGGUCUCUGGGCCACUACUGACGCUGAGAAGCGAAAGCAUGGGGAGCGAACAGG